AUAAUCAAGGAUAUGAAAAAAAUCUGUGGAGGGCAGUAAUAAGCCUUCUUCUUCUUCUUCUAUUAUUAAUGGCGGUUGGCAACCAGCUUUAGGUGGAUUACCACCACCUUCCAGACUGGAGUGUUGAUCAGAACGGCCCCUACCUACUACCACACCAAAAUAACCCAACUUAAUUCACCUUAAUACGCCUAGUUGGGUAUACAGUGACUUGAACUACAGAAGAAGACUGGGCCUACACUGACUUGAACUACAGAAGAAGAAAGGGAAAACAAACAAACGUAUGUGUACCCGCAGUAACGUUACAGCAAACUUCAAGACCAAAUUAUCGUCGCUUCAAAGUUAUAGCAAGUUAGGAAAGAUCAUUCAUUCUGAAUGUUACAUGAUUUCCUAAUGGGAAUAUAUAUGCACCAGUGGUCAAGGGACCUGCAGUGCUUCUCUACACCACCUACAAGCUGACCCCCUAAAAACCUGAGAACAUCUCUUUGACUCCUUCUCUGUUCUCUUCCUCUUGAAAGAAUAUAAGGUUGCACUACCAGAGGAAAAUGGAGUUGCCAUUAAUGUGCUUUGACCUUACCAGACAAAGAGCUUCACAACUGCUGCCACCCAUUCACAUGCUGAUGGUGGCAGAGCUGUCAUACAAGACACUGUCCUGGCCAC